AGAUUGAACGCUGGCGGCGUGCCUAACUACAUGCAAGUCGAGCGGCAGCACGGGGGCAACCCUGGUGGCGAGUGGCGAACGGGUGAGUAAUGCAUCGGAACGUAUCCUUGAGUGGGGGAUAACGCAGCGAAAGUUGUGCUAAUACCGCAUAAGCUCUGAGGAGGAAAGCGGGGGACCGAAAGGCCUCGCGCUGAAGGAGCGGCCGAUGUCCGAUUAGCUGGUUGGUGGGGUAACGGACCCGACCAAGGCGACGAUCGGUAGCUGGUCUGAGAGGAUGAUCAGCCACACUGGGACGUGAGACACGGCCCACGACUCCUACGGGCGGGCAGC
rnacentral:rRNA from 1 species